GUCGUGGGGGCAAUUUCGAAAUUGAUCGUGCGGAGAAGCCUCAGAAACUGCUCGAGACCGGUUUCUCGUAGGAACCCUUUUACACAUGAUUUGGGUUGGACCUCUAGUAGCA